rnacentral:siRNA from 1 species
CGAAACCCGUAAUCCUCCUAGGCC